UGUGGCCCUUAUCGAAGCUGUAGCUGCUUCCACAUAGCUGCUGUGGUCAAAAAAGGAGCCUAGAGUGACAGUUUUCCUUGACGGUCGCUGUUCUGUUUGCUGUAACUGAUCUGCAACAUUUCAGGAAAAGACAGUU
ensembl:snoRNA SNORA16A small nucleolar RNA, H/ACA box 16A